rnacentral:tRNA from 1 species
GGUGGAGUGGCCGAGCGGUCUUAAGGUGCUGGUUUUAGGCACCAGUGGGGCAACCCGCGCGAGUUCGAAUCUCGUCUCCAUCA